GAUGAACGCUAGCUACAGGCUUAACACAUGCAAGUCGAGGGGUCUCGCGGAAGCUUGCUUUCGAGAGACGACCGGCGCACGGGUGAGUAACGCGUAUCCAACCUGCCCUUCAUAUUGGGAUAGCCUUCCGAAAGGAAGAUUAAUACCGAAUAACAUAGCGAGAUUGCCUGAUUUCUCUAUGAAAGCUCCGGCGAUGAAGGAUGGGGAUGCGUUCCAUUAGGUAGUAGGCGGGGUAACGGCCCACCUAGCCGACGAUGGAUAGGGGUUCUGAGAGGAAGGUCCCCCACACUGGAACUGAGACACGGUCCAGACUCCUACGGGAGGCAGCAGUGAGGAAUAUUGGUCAAUGGGCGCAAGCCUGAACCAGCCAAGUAGCGUGAAGGAAGACUGCCCUAUGGGUUGUAAACUUCUUUUAUACGGGAACAAACCCUGGUACGUGUACCAGAUUGCGUGUACCGUAUGAAUAAGCAUCGGCUAACUCCGUGCCAGCCGCCGCAGUAAAAC
rnacentral:rRNA from 1 species